rnacentral:pre_miRNA from 1 species
UAUGUAUUACCUCCAUCCCGAAUUAGUUGUCUUAGAUUUGUCUACACAUGUAUCUAGACAAAUCUAAGACAACUAAUUUGGGACGGAGGGAGUAUUUG